rnacentral:rRNA from 1 species
UACGGGGGGAGCAAGCGUUGUUCGGAUUUACUGGGCGUAAAGGGCGCGUAGGCGGUCAGCACAAGUCAGUUGCGAAAUCUCCGGGCUUAACUCGGAAAGGUCAACUGAUACUGUGCGACUAGAGUGCGGAAGGGGCAACUGGAAUUCUCGGUGUAGCGGUGAAAUGCGUAGAUAUCGAGAGGAACACCUGCGGCGAAGGCGGGUUGCUGGGCCGACACUGACGCUGAUGCGCGAAAGCCAGGGGAGCGAACGGG